CAAACUAAAGAUGGCGACCGGCGCACGGGUGAGUAACACGUAUCCAACCUGCCGAUAACUCGGGGAUAGCCUUUCGAAAGAAAGAUUAAUAUCCGAUAGUAUAUUUUCUCCACAUGGCGAGAAUAUUAAAGAAUUUCGGUUAUCGAUGGGGAUGCGUUCCAUUAGUUUGUUGGCGGGGUAACGGCCCACCAAGACUACGAUGGAUAGGGGUUCUGAGAGGAAGGUCCCCCACAUUGGAACUGAGACACGGUCCAA
rnacentral:rRNA from 1 species